UUGACUUUUUACAAAUUAUAUUGGGAUCUUUUCCCACUUACAUGAACAUUCAUACUUUGUUUGUCCAAAACACCAACAAACCCUAGGAAUAUGCAUGAGAUUAAGAGAAGGAAUGUUGGUUUUGCACAACCGUCUCACAAAGGAAAGAUCAAAGCCAGGCAGAGCAGUGCCAAUCCAGAUGAGCAGGGCCUUUUUCUAGGUUCUAAACACAAGGGAUUUGCUGAAUUGCAAAGGUGAUUUGUUAAGACACAUACCUUUGAUAUUUGAAAGAACUGUUUACAGAAGACUAUUGAAUUGCACAGGAUUGAUGAUUAAAAGAUUCAACUACAGUUCAAUGAGGCUCAACAUAUUGUGAUGCCAAUAUUGCGCACUUGAGUAGGAAGAUCAAAAUGUUUGUAGCAAAUGGACAUAAGUAAAUAGCGUGCCUUCAAACUGACCAAUAUUUCUGAAGUGAAGGAUGACAACUUAGUCUCUAUUUGUUGGGAAAUUUUAUAGCCAUGUUUGAACCUCAAGAACAGAUAUACAAAACCUGAAUGACAGAUACAUGUAAAAUAAUAAGACAUG